CAGCCGACCUAGGCCCUCUAGGCUCAGCUCGCUUCUGUCAGCGGACCUCCGUCCCUCAACCCCUGGCCACCGGUUGCAGUCGUGGGGCGUUUGGACCUCAGAGGGUGGAGGCAGCAGGAGAGGGAGCACAACAUGGGCCUCCUGGCGCCUUCUCCCAUCUCCCCCGUCACUCAUGAGAGCAUUGCCCAAGGAGGGACUGGCAGGGACAGAAACAUCAACUCAAAAUUGCCUGCAUUUUAUCAGCAUGCUUGCAGCUGCAUUUGUCACUGACAGAGCUCAGCAGUCUGCUCACCUGGACACAUUUCACUGCUCACGUGUAAACAGAAAUUGUAAUCCUAAAAUGCAUAUGGAACCACAAAAGAUCCCAAAUAACCAAAGAAUGCUUGAACAAGAAACAUAAAGUU